GAUGAACGCUGGCGGCGUGCUUAACACAUGCAAGUCGAACGAUGAAGCCCAGCUUGCUGGGUGGAUUAGUGGCGAACGGGUGAGUAACACGUGAGUAACCUGCCCUUGACUCUGGGAUAAGCCUGGGAAACUGGGUCUAAUACUGGAUAUGACUUCUCAUCGCAUGGUGGGGGGUGGAAAGAUUUAUUGGUCUUGGAUGGACUCGCGGCCUAUCAGCUUGUUGGUGAGGUAAUGGCUCACCAAGGCGACGACGGGUAGCCGGCCUGAGAGGGUGACCGGCCACACUGGGACUGAGACACGGCCCAGACUCCUACGGGAGGCAGCAGUGGGGAAUAUUGCACAAUGGGCGCAAGCCUGAUGCAGCGACGCCGCGUGAGGGAUGACGGCCUUCGGGUUGUAAACCUCUUUCAGUAGGGAAGAAGCGAGAGUGACGGUACCUGCAGAAGAAGCGCCGGCUAACUACGUGCCAGCAGCCGCCGUAACAC
rnacentral:rRNA from 1 species